CUUAGAGAAAUCUCCCCUCCAGGCCUUCUGGGAUCGGCACCACCCCUCACAACCCCGACACCUCCUUUCCCGAGACCCCUCCCCUCCUGGAUCCAGAACAUGCCCCUCAGAAAUCAUUUCCCACAAUCUCCAAAGGAAAUCAAACCCCGCUCAUCUAGGAGCCCCUGCUCUCUCCUCUCUCAUCCCACCUCCGUUGACUCCCAAACCACCGACCCUUUGUUUUUCAGAACUAGACCCCCUACCCUCUGGAUCCCCAUCCCAUUUUCCCCCGGCUAAGAUCCACUCUGCCUUCGCCUCUGAGAACUAAGACCCUUCCUUCCAAACACUUGCUUUUAUCCUAGACCCCUUCCCUUCUCUUCCCCCAGUACCUGGAAAACCCACCCUCUGAAAUUCCUAU
rnacentral:lncRNA from 1 species